UUCCAUCUCAGGACAAGGUCAUGGCAGCCGCAUUCACACAAUGACACUGCCAGUUGCAGGGAAGGGAGCCUGCUGUGGGACUGCACACUGCAGAGUGGAACAGGCAAGCAUCACCAAGGGUUCUGCUUCCAACUGCAUUUGCACCAAAGCGCUACAGACUGAGCACUCAGUGCUCCUCACAGCGCUACCUCAGGGCAGGACUUUCUCUCGGCUUCCACAGGAGGGCGCUCAAGGCACUCAAAGGCGGAAGUAGAGACCAGGCUUCUCCUGUCAGCACUCACCUCUUCUGGGUAAAGAGCUUGGGAGUCUUCUAAGAGAGACCCUGCCUGUUACUUCUCCCUGCUGUGACUUCAGUCGGGAAGACUCCCUCCAACUCACCUCCCUCGGUCCCUCUUUUUUGAGUAGGAUUAGAGUUAAGAGGAUAUUCUUCUUCCCUUAUCACCUCAUCCCUUCCCUUCUAAGGCCUGAGAGAAGAAGGCAUGCUGUGGACACUCUCCCUACUUGUAGCUUUCCUGCCUCCUGGCAGUCAAACAUCUUCCAACUCAGAGAAGAUCAUGACAGUGGUCACCAAGCCAACUGGGUCAUCUGUUACAGUCACUUGUAGUAUUCCUCAACAAAGUGGCUACAUCCACUGGUACCGGUUCCAGGAGGGGAAGGCCCCACAGCGCCUUCUCUACUAUGACUUCUCCCGGUCCAGUUCUACAGUGGAUUCAGGAUUCCGUCCUGGGAAAUACCAGGCUUAUGAAGGCUCAGGAAGGAGCUGUAAAUUUGUAGCACGGAAUCUGGAAGAAAGUGACUCUGGAGUGUAUUACUGUGCUAUCUGGAUUGGCACAGUGAUUCACAUCUGCCCUAAAGUAUACUGAGAAUUGUGCUUGUGGUUGUUCCUGGUACUCAAGACAGGCCAUCCCCACCUCACUUCCUGUUUCUGACUGUGCUGUACUCUGAACAAAGAGAAACCCUGAGCCCAACACCUAACCUCAGUGCCCACAUCUCACUCCCCUCCUGAUGCUUCAUACUGCCCCAAGACCCUACCCUUGCACCCUCCACCCCGGGGUUUUCCUAAAGCCCAAAAUCGCAUAUCUAGGUCUUAGCCCAGCCACCUGCUGACAAUACAGUUCUUUCUGCUCUCUUAGGGGCUGGAAGAACAGCAUUUAAUUUGGUUUCUGGGACAAAGUCUCGGGAUGCAUUCU